rnacentral:rRNA from 1 species
GGCCCUACGGGGUGCAGCAGGCGCGAAAACUUUACAAUGCUGGCAACAGCGAUAAGGGAACCUCGAGUGCCAGGUUACAAAUCUGGCUGUCGAGAUGCCUAAAAAGCAUUUCAUAGCAAGGGCCGGGCAAGACCGGUGCCAGCCGCCGCGGUAACACCGGCGGCUCGAGUGGUAGCCGUUAUUAUUGGGUCUAAAGGGUCUGUAGCCGGCCGGAUAAGUCUCUUGAGAAAUCUGGCAGCUUAACUGUCAGGCUUUCAGGAGAUACUGUCUGGCUCGAGGCCGGGAGAGGUGAGAGGUACUUCAGGGGUAGGGGUGAAAUCUUGUAAUCCUUGAAGGACCACCAGUGGCGAAGGCGUCUCACCAGAACGGACCUGACGGCAAGGGACGAAAGCUAGGGGCACGAACCGGAUUAGAUACCCGGGUAGUCCUAGCCGUAAACGAUACUCGCUAGGUGUCGGCCACGGUGCGACCGUUGUCGGUGCCGUAGGGAAGCCGUGAAGCGAGCCACCUGGGAAGUACGGCCGCAAGGCUGAAACUUAAAGGAAUUGGCGGGGGAGCACCACAACGGGUGGAGCUUGCGGUUUAAUUGGAUUCAACGCCGGAAAUCUU